rnacentral:rRNA from 1 species
GACGAACGCUGGCGGCGUGCUUAACACAUGCAAGUCGAACGGAAAGGCCCUGCUUUUGUGGGGUGCUCGAGUGGCGAACGGGUGAGUAACACGUGAGUAACCUGCCCUUGACUUUGGGAUAACUUCAGGAAACUGGGGCUAAUACCGGAUAGGAGCUCGUGCUGCAUGGUGGGGGUUAGAAAGUUUCGGCGGUUGGGGAUGGACUCGCGGCUUAUCAGCUUGUUGGUGGGGUAGUGGCUUACCAAGGCUUUGACGGGUAGCCGGCCUGAGAGGGUGACCGGCCACAUUGGGACUGAGAUACGGCCCAGACUCCUACGGGAGGCAGCAGUGGGGAAUAUUGCACAAUGGGCGGAAGCCUGAUGCAGCAACGCCGCGUGCGGGAUGACGGCCUUCGGGUUGUAAACCGCUUUCGCCUGUGACGAAGCGUGAGUGACGGUAAUGGGUAAAGAAGCACCGGCUAACUACGUG